CCUACGGGGGGCUGCAGUGGGGAAUAUUGGACAAUGGGGGCAACCCUGAUCCAGCCAUGCCGCGUGUGUGAAGAAGGCCCUCGGGUUGUAAAGCACUUUCAGUGAGGAAGAACGCCUGGUGGUUAAUACCCAUCAGGAAAGACAUCACUCACAGAAGAAGCACCGGCUAACUCCGUGCCAGCAGCCGCGGUAAUACGGAGGGUGCGAGCGUUAAUCGGAAUGACUGGGCGUAAAGCGCGCGUAGGUGGCUUGAUAAGCCGGUUGUGAAAGCCCCGGGCUCAACCUGGGAACGGCAUCCGGAACUGUCAAGCUAGAGUGCAGGAGAGGAAGGUAGAAUUCCCGGUGUAGCGGUGAAAUGCGUAGAGAUCGGGAGGAAUACCAGUGGCGAAGGCGGCCUUCUGGACUGACACUGACGCUGAGGUGCGAAAGCGUGGGUAGCAAACAGGAUUAGAUACCCGGGUAGUC
rnacentral:rRNA from 1 species